AAGUCCAAUGGCUGGUUGAUGCAGUGGUAGGAUAAGUUAAGUAACUUCACUAUUAAAUGAUUUAGAGUGAGUUUAUCAUAUAACAGAUCAAAUGAUACGAUUUCAUCAAGUUAAUCAACGCAGAAUUCGGCGCCGACAGACCACACAUGUAAUGUCUAAGGAUGGCAAUGAGAAAUUCUCUGAAGAAAUGUUUCUGCAGGAUGUUUGUAUUCAGUAAAACUACAUGGGAUGCGACAAUCCAGCCAGCUGUCAUAUGCCAAGAGUUCUAUAUUUCCAUGAAAAUAUAAAAUAGAGGUUAGGCACCAAUAGGUAUACGAGUGAAGAAAGAAUCUCGAUUGUCACCACCAGAGAACCGUUGCUAAAUGUGUGUGUGUGUGUGUGUGUGGGGGGGGGGGGGGGUGAUGCAGUGACACCCGGGACAGAGAGGUGCAGCGACCUUGGUGUGCGCACAUGUUAAGACUCCUGUGUGUUGUGGUUGUACAGAGACAGUUCCACCUCUAAAAACUAAAAUGUGACAAAAAAUGACCAAAGCAGCAGUUCCGAGUGGGGUGGCUAAUGGGGUGGCCAGGCUUCGGUCCAUGGUGGCCACCGCCACCCCUGGCCACCCCUUAGCUCCUCCACUGGCUUGGACGGAAAAAUGUUUGAUUGUUUUCAAGUGUUAUUCUUUCCAAAAAACUCUCAUUUUCACAAGUAUGUGUAACAAUAUUAAUCACGCUUGCUGACUAUCUAUAGAAGAUUAAAAAUCAUGCCUUUAUUAUUUCAUUAUUAUUAUUUCAGUUAGUCAUUUCCCUAAAAUGUAUUUUUACUUCAAUGCUGUAAUAUUGCUUUGUUGCAAAUUAGCAAGCAAAGGUUCAAUCUAAAUAAGCCAUACUGUACUUGCUUAUAUGAAUUGUAAUGGUACUGUAUAGUCAAGCCUGAAGGUGCUCCACUUUGUGUUGUGACUAACAAUGCCCUGUGAAUAUAUUCAUAAUAUAGCACAGCCUCUCUUUCCUUAAGAUUAGCACAAUUACAUGUAGACCUACCUUACAUUAAAAAAAAACAGCUUCCCUCAGCUCUUGCUUUCACUCAAAAAAAAUGUCUUUUUUGCUAAUAUAGAUUGGUUAUCAUAUUUACAAAAAACGGUCCAGAAAUGUGGAACCAUUAGCCAAAAACUUUUAAGAAAUCAAAUUUAAGUGUGCCAAAUUCUGUUGGAUACCUCUAAUUGUUUACCAAGAAGUUUAUUAUGGAAUUGGGUUUUGUUAUUUAUUACUGUUUGCUUAAUUAUGCAGGUAUGUCUUUAAAGCUUUGGCUUUCUGUACUGUAUGUUUAUCUCUCUUGUGGAUCUCUCUAAAUACUGAAAAUUUCAGUUUCAUUUUAGGAUGCAUUGAAGAAACAUUCCUGUGGGGUUGGAGUUGGGGAUGUUGUUCCAUGAGCCAUAAGAUUUAAACCUCUGUUGGACACAAGCACAACUAGUUUGCUUUUUGAAGAGGAGCUGGAAGACUACACAAAGACAGCAUCUCCAAAAUGUACUGUGAGAAAUGUGGGAAAAAAUUAAGUUCGCAGGCUAACUAUUGCAGAAAAUGUAGGUACCCAUGUCGUUCUGAGGAGGAGGAUGAACCUUACAAUGAGAUGUCUUUAAGGAACUAUGGGAUGGUUCCAUCAUACAGUAACAACACCAUCCAGAUGCCCAUGGCCAACCGAGGAAAUGUUACAAUGGUUCACCAUUACAGCAAUACAGAACAAGGUGUUGAAAUACGUCAAACUAUAGUUAUGAAGGAUGGUAGACUUGUUUCCGCUAAAGAAAUCAAAUCGUUAACUUUUUAAAAGUUGGAAGGAGGAAGUCUCCUUUAUAUAAAUUAGCAAAAACGUUCUGAAUAACAUCUGUGGGUCUUCCAGGGACACAUCUGCUGUCUAUCAUCUCUUUAGAAGUGUAGAAUAAAGUCAUAUGGAAUUAUUGUUUUGUUUCCAUGCUUAUCUAAACUUAAAGGUGUAAUGUUCUGUUUUCUUUGCUAUACUUAAAUGUAUCAGUAGUUUUUUUCCAAACUCAAAGUCUAUGUCAACUCAGAUAGUGUGAUUAUUUUCAUUUUAUGUACUUGAGAGGGUUGAUGUAAAGAAAAUAAAUUGUUUGCAUUCUUAAUGAUUUUGUUCCUUUUGUCAAAAAAACAAGGUGAAAUAAUGUGUUAACUGUGUUGCUUUAUAGAGUUCAACUCUUAUAAAUGUCAUACUUUGAAACUUCAUUCAUGGAGCCUGAAACUGGAACAAAAUGUAUAUUUUUUUAUCUAUAAUAAAUACGUUUUGAAA